GACGAACGCUGGCGGCGUGCCUAAUACAUGCAAGUUGAGCGCUGAAGGUUGGUACUUGUACCGACUGGAUGAGCAGCGAACGGGUGAGUAACGCGUGGGGAAUCUGCCUUUGAGCGGGGGACAACAUUUGGAAACGAAUGCUAAUACCGCAUAAAAACUUUAAACACAAGUUUUAAGUUUGAAAGAUGCAAUUGCAUCACUCAAAGAUGAUCCCGCGUUGUAUUAGCUAGUUGGUGAGGUAAAGGCUCACCAAGGCGAUGAUACAUAGCCGACCUGAGAGGGUGCUCGGCCAACUUGGGACUGAGACACGGCCCAAACCCCUACGGGAGGCAGCAGUAGGGGAACCUCGGCGAUUGACGGAAGUCUGACCGGGCUCCGCCGCGUGAGUGAAGAGAGUUCUCGGAUCGUAAAACUCGGUUGGUAGAGAAUAACGUUGGUGAGAGUGGAAAGCUCAUCAAGUGACGUUAACUACCCAGAAAGGGACGGCUAACUACGUG
rnacentral:rRNA from 1 species